AGUGAACGCUGGCGGUAGGCCUAACACAUGCAAGUCGAACGGCAGCACGGUAAGAGCUUGCUCUUACGGGUGGCGAGUGGCGGACGGGUGAGGAAUACAUCGGAAUCUACUUUUUCGUGGGGGAUAACGUAGGGAAACUUACGCUAAUACCGCAUACGACCUACGGGUGAAAGCAGGGGAUCUUCGGACCUUGCGCGAUUGAAUGAGCCGAUGUCGGAUUAGCUAGUUGGCGGGGUAAAGGCCCACCAAGGCGACGAUCCGUAGCUGGUCUGAGAGGAUGAUCAGUCACACUGGAACUGAGACACGGUCCAGACUCCUACGGGAGGCAGCAGUGGGGAAUAUUGGACAAUGGGCGCAAGCCUGAUCCAGCCAUACCGCGUGGGUGAAGAAGGCCUUCGGGUUGUAAAGCCCUUUUGUUGGGAAAGAAAAGCAGCAGGUUAAUACCCCGCUGUUCUGACGGUACCCAAAGAAUAAGCACCGGCUAACUUCGUG
rnacentral:rRNA from 1 species